UCAGUACCUUACCCAGUGAGUUACCAGUCACUUACACUACAUGUAACUGGUUUCUGUCUGGGUAGAGUAAGGUU
rfam:Otolemur garnettii contig090492, whole genome shotgun sequence.